CUACGGGUCGCUGCAGUAAGGAAUAUUGCGCAAUGGAGGCAACUCUGACGCAGCCAUGCCGCGUGCAGGAAGAAGGCCUUAUGGGUCGUAAACCGCUUUUAUUUAGGAAUAAACCCCCGAACGUGUUCGGGGCUGAAGGUACUAAACGAAUAAGCACCGGCUAACUCCGGGCCAGCAGCCGCGGUAAUACGGAGGGUGCAAGCGUUAUCCGGAUUUAUUGGGUUUAAAGGGUGCGCAGGCGGGCUAUUAAGUCAGUGGUGAAAUCCCGGGGCUCAACUCCGGAACUGCCAUUGAUACUGAUAGUCUUGAGUUUGGUUGAAGUGGGCGGAAUGUAGCAUGUAGCGGUGAAAUGCAUAGAUAUGCUACAGAACACCAAUCGCGAAGGCAGCUCACUAAGCCAAAACUGACGCUCAUGCACGAAAGCGUGGGGAUCAAACAGGAUUAGAUACCCCUGUAGUC
rnacentral:rRNA from 1 species